CCUUUCCUUAACUGAGGGCAAUUCCUGUGCUUUUUCCUUCCUAGGAUAAUUGAAAACUUUCCUAAUUGUGGACACAGUGAUAAGUUGACUCUCCUUCCUUCUGCUGUAAUUCGAUGAUUGAGAACAAGUGAAAGAUUUAUACUUUUUGUAUGUCUAAGAUGAACAUCAUGCAGUAUUGAAUCUUGUUUCUGAAACCUGAGAUUAAUUUAAAUAUGAGACACUCUCCUAUCAUCUAGUUACAUGGAGUCAUGCAAACAUAAAAUAUAUUAUAGCAAGAUGGCUGGAGCCUGAUUCAUUUCUUGAUUAGAUGAAGCUUACAGAUUAUCUGUGUUGCACAGAGGUAUGUCAACAUGAAAAAGCACAUUUUCAAAUGUUUUUUUCAGUGUGGUCCAAGGAUCCCUUGGGAAGGGGUUUACUUUUGCAUUAAGUAUUUAUAAACA
rnacentral:lncRNA from 1 species